AACGAACGCUGGCGGCAUGCCUAACACAUGCAAGUCGAACGGAUCCUUCGGGAUUAGUGGCGCACGGGUGCGUAACGCGUGGAAUCUACCCUUGGGGUUCGGAACAACAGUUAGAAAUGACUGCUAAUACCGGAUGAUGACGUAAGUCCAAAGAUUUAUCGCCCAGGGAUGAGCCCGCGUAAGAUUAGCUAGUUGGUGGGGUAAAGGCCUACCAAGGCGACGAUCUUUAGCUGGUCUGAGAGGAUGAUCAGCCACACUGGGACUGAGACACGGCCCAGACUCCUACGGGAGGCAGCAGUGGGGAAUAUUGGACAAUGGGCGAAAGCCCGAUCCAGCAAUGCCGCGUGAGUGAUGAAGGCCUUAGGGUUGUAAAGCUCUUUUACCCGGGAUGAUAAUGACAGUACCGGGAGAAUAAGCUCCGGCUAACUCCGUGGCUGUAAAAGACGAAGUGUGAUAUUACCUUAUUUGAACUGAUAAUUACAUCUGGCAUAUUUAGUCGGGCUUAUUUCAAUUUCUUUUACACUUGUUUAAUGUACACAUUGUAUGAUGUACACAUGAGGCUGAUAAUACUUUAAAGGACUUCUAGAUUUACAAAACAAUUUUUACUUAAAAGUUUUAUCGUUGAAGCUUUUUAUCAGUGACUGUUAAGAACUCAAAAUGUACGUACUUGUUUAUAUCCGUAUGGCAAUUAAUAAUUUGAAAAUGGAAAAAACGUACAAACGAAGAAUAGCCACUAACCAAAAAUUUAAAACCCGCACACCUAGGCCAACCCUCCCCAAACCCCACAUAAAACAUGCAAAACAAAACAAUUCACACAAUGGACACAUGAACACAGACAAAGAAAGAAACAAACAACAAAUCCAAGAGAGUUCCGCCUUGGAACGGUCUGCCGU
rnacentral:rRNA from 1 species